GGCUAGUCCGAUGGCAGUGGGUUAUCAGAACUUAUUAACAUUAGUGUCACUAAAGUUGGUAUACCACCCCCCCCACUGCUAAAUCUGACUAGCUUUAA
ensembl:misc_RNA Y_RNA Y RNA